rnacentral:rRNA from 1 species
GCCUAAAGCGUCCGUAGCCGGCUCUGUAAGUUUUCGGUUAAAUCUGUACGCUCAACGUACAGGCUGCUGGGAAUACUGCAGGGCUAGGGAGUGGGAGAGGUAGACGGUACUCGGGAGGAAGUGGUAAAAUGCUUUGAUCUCUCGAUGACCACCUGUGGCGAAGGCGGUCUACCAGAACACGUCCGACGGUGAGGGAUGAAAGCUGGGGGAGCAAACCGGAUUAGAUACCCGGGUAGUCCCAGCUGUAAACUAUGCAAACUCAGUGAUGCACUGGCUUAUGGCCAGUGCAGUGUUGCAGGGAAGCCGUUAAGUUUGCCGCCUGGGAAGUACGUACGCAAGUAUGAAACUUAAAGGAAUUGGCGGGGGAGCACCACAAGGGGUGAAGCCUGCGGUUCAAUUGGAGUCAACGCCAGAAAUCUUACCCGGAGAGACAGCAGAAUGAAGGUCAAGCUGAAGACUUUACCAGACAAGCUGAGAGGUGGUGCAUGGCCGUCGCCAGCUCGUGCCGUGAGAUGUCCUGUUAAGUCAGGUAACGAGCAAGAUCCCUGCCUCUAGUUGCUACCAUUACUCUCAGGAGUAGUGGAGCGAAUUAGCGGGACCGCCGCAGUUAAUGCGGAGGAAGGAAGGGGCCACGGCAGGUCAGUAUGCCCCGAA